rnacentral:rRNA from 1 species
GACGAACGCUGGCGGCGUGCCUAAUACAUGCAAGUCGAACGAGAGCGACCGGUGCUUGCCCUGGUCAAUCUAGUGGCGAACGGGUGAGUAACACGUGGGUAACCUGCCCAUCAGAGGGGGAUAACAUCCGGAAACGGAUGCUAAAACCGCAUAGGUCUUCGAGCCGCAUGGCUUGAAGAGGAAAAGAGGCGCAAGCUUCUGCUGAUGGAUGGACCCGCGGUGCAUUAGCUAGUUGGUGAGGUAACGGCUCACCAAGGCCGUGAUGCAUAGCCGACCUGAGAGGGUGAUCGGCCACAUUGGGACUGAGACACAGCCCAAACUCCUACGGGAGGCAGCAGUAGGGAAUCUUCCGCAAUGGACGCAAGUCUGACGGAGCAACGCCGCGUGAGUGAAGAAGGUUUUCGGAUCGUAAAACUCUGUUGUUAGAGAAGAACAAGUGCUAGAGUAACUGUUAGCGCCUUGACGGUAUCUAACCAGAAAGCCACGGCUAACUACGUG